rnacentral:rRNA from 1 species
GUCUUUUUGAAUUAAAUUUAAAGUCUAACCUGCCCACUGAAAAUUUUAAAUGGCCGCAGUAUUCUAACUGUGCAAAGGUAGCAUAAUCAUUAGUCUUUUAAUUGAAGGCUGGAAUGAAUGGUUGGACGAAAUAUUAACUGUUUCAUUUAAAUUUUUUAUAGAAUUUUAUUUUUUAGUCAAAAAGCUAAAAUAAAUUUAAAAGACGAGAAGACCCUAUAAAUCUUUAUAUUUUAUUUAUUUUAAUUAUAAAGAUUAUUUUUAUUAUAAUAAAUUAAAAUAUUUUAUUGGGGUGAUAUUAAAAUUUAAAAAACUUUUAAUUUUGAAAACCAUUAAUUUAUGAAUAAUUGAUCCGUUAAUAAUGAUUAAAAAUUUAAGUUACUUUAGGGAUAACAGCGUAAUUUUUUUGGAGAGUUCAUAUCGAUAAAAAAGAUUGCGACCUCGAUGUUGGAUUAAGAUAUAAUUUUGGGUGUAGCCGUUCAAAUUUUAAGUCUGUUCGACUUUUAAAUUCUU